rnacentral:sRNA from 1 species
GCCUAGCCCAGAUAGCAGUGAAAAUCCUUUUUUGAGGCUUUUUGCCUCAAAAAAGAUUGCAACGGAUAGCUAGAAAUAGC